rnacentral:rRNA from 1 species
CCUACGGGGGGCAGCAGUGGGGAAUAUUGCACAAUGGGGGAAACCCUGAUGCAGCGACGCCGCGUGAGUGAAGAAGUAUUUCGGUAUGUAAAGCUCUAUCAGCAGGGAAGAAAAUGACGGUACCUGACUAAGAAGCCCCGGCUAACUACGUGCCAGCAGCCGCGGUAAUACGUAGGGGGCAAGCGUUAUCCGGAUUUACUGGGUGUAAAGGGCGCGUAGGCGGCGCGGCAAGUCUGAAGUGAAAGGCAGGGGCUUAACCCCGGAACCGCUUUGGAAACUGGCAGGCUAGAGUGGUGGAGAGGUAAGUGGAAGUCCCAGUGUAGCGGUGAAAUGCGUAGAUAUUAGGAGGAACACCAGUGGCGAAGGCGGCUUACUGGACAGUAACUGACGCUGAGGCUCGAAAGCGUGGGGAGCAAACAGGAUUAGAUACCCGGGUAGUC